CGCUCCACACACACAGCCAUCUCUAUGUGAUGUGCUCCACCCUCACCUCCUCCAGGAAGCCUUCCUCACCCAUGUCAGCCUACGCGCCUCCUGAUCUGGAGCCCCCAGCCCUCGAUUCCAGGACUGCCAGUUUGGAAUCUGUCCUCAACUCCAGUCCAGAAAGCCCAAGGCAGGGGGUACGGAAAGAAGGGGAGACCGGGAAGAGGAGGCUGAUGGCGCUCCACCCAGCCCUAAGCAAAGCCAGGGGCCCCGCCAACGCCGGCUGACUUGGAAAUUGCAGAUUCUACCACCCAAUGAGGCUCAGACUAAGAGCGCCCUCCUCCAGGAUUCGUCCUGCCACCUCUAAUCACAGACAGCUCCUUCCUCAAACUCCUGUGGCCUGCUCACUCCCUGUGCUGCCUCCCAGGGAAACAGGCCCUUACCGAGCUCUUCUCCAGCCCUCUCCAUGGGUCCUCAGCCCUGAGCUGAGAGGCCAAGGACUGUCCCUCAGCCCCCGACACACCCCUCCCCACCCAGCAGCCUUCCUGAGCAAGGACACGUGCUCAGGACUUGGACUACCAAUCUCGUAGAACUGGAAAGAACACGGUCCCUGCCCUCUUGGAGUCUGGAGUCUUGCUGUGAGCCAGUGAUGGGCCCAGAAGGCAGAUACUGGAGCUAUAUAGCAUCAACUCCAUGUUCUCCCCAUCUCAGCAUUCGCUGGUCUCCUCUUUCCCCUAGAGCUGCCAGUCUCUGGGAAGGUGGGACCACCAUGGCCUCUUUCCCUUCUCUGUCCACCUUUCCUUCAAGCCAUGCUCACCUCCCCACCCACAGACACGCCCAGGCCUCUCCAGUCCCCCUUCCCUCCACCUGCUGAUCUGAGCAUGCUCCUGCAGUAGGGCCUGCACAUGUCUCUUCCACUUUCUCACCAGCUGUCCCCAUCCAUGCCACAGAAACCCCUACAGCCACUGCCAGGACCAUCAGCUUCCCGCCCAGCCUCCUCACCUCCCUUAGCCUCUACACCUCUGCCCACCUGUGAUUCUCCUCCAUUCUGGCCAAGUGCCAGGACUGCAGCAUCCAGCAUCUGCAGGGGGUUCCCCAGAAGGCUCCUCCUCACCUCCAAAACAGAACCUGACCUCAUAUGCUCUGCUCUUCUCCCCAGCUUCCCAAUUCCCCAGCCACUUGAGUUCCUCCUUAUAGCCCUUCCUCAGCCCCAAAUCCAGUCGGCCACCAAGGCCUUGUAGCUCAAGUCCUGCAAUUUCCCCCCAAGGCCAUCUCCUUCCCAGGGCUUGGUCACCCUCCCCCAGGUCCCUGCAAUGGUGGCCUAGCUGGGUUCCCACCCCCCAUCUCCUUGCACUGGACACAGCCCCCUCACUGGCCUAUGAUGCCUUCCUGAUGCUCCUUGGCCACCUGCCCUGCUCGGAGCCCCACAUCUCUUUGCCCCUGGAAUGUCACCUGUACCUAAGUUUGGAAAGCCCUGUAUGAGAGGCACAAGUGAGCCUAUGCCCUCCUUUAAUAAACUGACUCCCUGAAGACAGAGCCAACUGCUUGCUCACCUCUCGCCUCUAGCUUCUGGCUAGAAGUUUCUAGCACAAGCCCUUGUGUGCAUUACGAGUCCAAAGGCCUGUAAUGAGUGAGUAAGCGAGCGAGAGCCAGGCCGUGCCCUGCUGCGUGGCAUAGGUUUUCCUUCUGCUCCCUUGCUCUGUGUCCCACUGCACACUGGGGCUGCCUCAGAUUGCUCACAUCCCCUCUUUUCUCUUCCAAG
rnacentral:lncRNA from 10 species